rnacentral:rRNA from 1 species
GACGAACGCUGGCGGCGUGCUUAACACAUGCAAGUCGAACGGAAAGGCCCUGCUUUUGUGGGUUGCUCGAGUGGCGAACGGGUGAGUAACACGUGAGUAACCUGCCCUUGACUUUGUGAUAACUUCAGGAAACAGGGGCUAAUAUCGGAUAGGAUCUCCUGCUGCAUGGUGUGGGUUGGAAAGUUUCGGCGGUUGGGGCUGGACUCGCGGCUUAUCAGCUUGUUGGUGGGGUAGUGGCUUACCAAGGCUGUGACGGGUAGCCGGCAUGAGAGGGUGACCGGCCACAUGGGGACUGAGAGACGGCGCAGACUCCUACGGGAGGCAGCAGUGGGGAAUAUUGCACAAUGGGCGGAAGCCUGAUGCAGCAACGCCGCGUGCGGGAUGACGGCUUUCGGGUUGUAAACCGCUUUGGCCGGUGACGAAGCGUGAGUGACGGUAAUGGGUCAAGAAGCAACGGCUAACUACGUG